rnacentral:rRNA from 1 species
AUUGAACGCUGGCGGCAUGCCUUACACAUGCAAGUCGAACGGCAGCACGGGUGCUUGCACCUGGUGGCGAGUGGCGAACGGGUGAGUAAUACAUCGGAACGUACCUUAUCGUGGGGGAUAACGCAGCGAAAGUUGCGCUAAUACCGCAUACGCCCUGAGGGGGAAAGCGGGGGACCGUAAGGCCUCGCGCGAUUAGAGCGGCCGAUGUCUGAUUAGCUUGUUGGUGAGGUAAAAGCUCACCAAGGCGAUGAUCAGUAGCUGGUCUGAGAGGACGAUCAGCCACACUGGGACUGAGACACGGCCCAGACUCCUACGGGAGGCAGCAGUGGGGAAUUUUGGACAAUGGGGGCAACCCUGAUCCAGCAAUGCCGCGUGAGUGAAGAAGGCCUUCGGGUUGUAAAGCUCUUUUGUCAGGGAAGAAACAGCAGCUCUAACACAGACUGCGAAUGACGGUACCUGAAGAAUAAGCACCGGCUAACUACGUGCCAGCAGCCGCGGUAAUACGUAGGGUGCGAGCGUUAAUCGGAAUUACUGGGCGUAAAGCGUGCGCAGGCGGUUAUACAAGACAGGCGUGAAAUCCCCGGGCUUAACCUGGGAAUGGCGUCUGUGACUGUAUAGCUAGAGUGUGUCAGAGGGGGGUGGAAUUCCACGUGUAGCAGUGAAAUGCGUAGAUAUGUGGAGGAACACCAAUGGCGAAGGCA